rnacentral:rRNA from 1 species
UCGAGAAUCUUUCACAAUGGGGGCAACCCUGAUGGAGCGACGCCGCGUGGAGGAUAAGGUCUUCGGAUUGUAAACUCCUGUCAUGUGAGAGCAAAGUUCAUGGAAUAAUACUUCGUGAAUCUGAUAGUAUCACAAGAGGAAGAGACGGCUAACUCUGUGCCAGCAGCCGCGGUAAUACAGAGGUCUCAAGCGUUGUUCGGAAUCACUGGGCGUAAAGGGUGCGUAGGUGGCGUGGAAAGUCAGAUGUGAAAGCCCGGGGCUCAACCUCGGAAUUGCAUCCGAUACUACCAUGCUAGAGAACUGGAGAGGAGUGUAGAAUUCACGGUGUAGCAGUGAAAUGCGUAGAUAUCGUGAGGAAUACCAAAGGCGUAGGCAGCACUCUGGACAGUAUCUGACACUGAGGCACGAAGGCUAGGGUAGCGAACG